rnacentral:rRNA from 1 species
UGGGGGAUAUUGCACAAUGGGCGAAAGCCUGAUGCAGCGACGCCGCGUGGGGGAUGAAGGCUUUCGGGUUGUAAACCUCUUUCGCUAUCGAACAAGGCCCGCUUAGUGUGGGCUGUGGGUAGGUGGAGAAGAAGCGCCGGCUAACUACGUGCCAGUAGCCGCGGUAAUACGUAGGGCGCGAGCGUUGUCCGGAAUUGUUGGGCGUAAAGGGCUUGUAGGCGGCUUGUUUCGUCUGCAUUGAAAAAGCGGGGCUUAACUUCGCGCGUGAAGUGGUUACAGGCAGGCUUGAGUGUGGUAGGGGUGACUGGAAUUCCAGGUGUAGCGGUGGAAUGCACAGAUAUCUGGAGGAACACCGAUGGCGAAGGAAGGUCACUGGGCCAUUACUGACGCUGAGGAGCGAAAGCAUGGGUAGCGAACAGG